AAUUCCCUCUGGUGGCAUUAUGAGUGACUGCAACUGGAGCUGUUAUUAGCUUCCAAGGUAAACACGGUGUUUUCUCAGAAAAUACAGUGUUUACACGAGAGAGGCUGCAGGGAGCUAUAGUUCUCACCUGAACAACCUCAUUAAGCUGAAGUUGAUCAGGUGACUAUAGUGUCCCUUUAAUACAACAAAUGAUAACGUGUGG